rnacentral:rRNA from 1 species
AACGUGCGCGAUGGAUGAUUUGGCUUCCUAUUUUGUUGAAGNACGCAGCAAAGUGCGACAAGUGGUAUCAAUUNCAGAAUCAUUCAAUUAUUGAAUCUUUGAACGCAAAUGGCGCAUGGGAGAAGCUCUUUAGAGUCAUCCCCGUACAUGCUACAUUUUUCAGUGUCGAAA